rnacentral:rRNA from 1 species
GAUGAACGCUGGCGGCGUGCCUAAUACAUGCAAGUCGAGCGAACAGACGAGGAGCUUGCUCCUUUGACGUUAGCGGCGGACGGGUGAGUAACACGUGGGUAACCUACCUAUAAGACUGGGAUAACUUCGGGAAACCGGAGCUAAUACCGGAUAAUAUUUCGAACCGCAUGGUUCGAUAGUGAAAGAUGGCUCUGCUAUCACUUAUAGAUGGACCUGCGCCGCAUUAGCUAGUUGGUAAGGUAACGGCUUACCAAGGCAACGAUACGUAGCCGACCUGAGAGGGUGAUCGGCCACACUGGAACUGAGACACGGUCCAGACUCCUACGGGAGGCAGCAGUAGGGAAUCUUCCGCAAAGGGCGAAAGCCUGACGGAGCAACGCCGCGUGAGUGAUGAAGGUCUUCGGAUCGUAAAACUCUGUUAUUAGGGAAGAACAAACGUGUAAGUAACUGUGCACGUCUUGACGGUACCUAAUCAGAAAGCCACGGCUAACUACGUG